rnacentral:tmRNA from 1 species
GGGGCUGACCGGUUUUGACAGCAUAGCUCUUUGUAAGUGUAAGCAUGUAGUGCGUUGCGUAAUUAGCACUUUAAUCAGAAUGCGAAAAUUUUAUAUGGCAAUACUAGUAUGCCAUGGCUGCUUAAUCGAUAGAUUGCACCAUUAGGGCCGUUGAACAGGUUGUUCUGUUACCAUGUUCUUCCGCCGACUCAAAAACAAAACAGAAUGCUGCAGCGGAAUGAUGUGACCGCUGCUUAAGAUCAUUCAUCUAAGGAUUCAGUUGGUUUGUUAUGCCCCUGCUGUUUCCCUACAACCAAUGCAUAAAUAAACAUGUAGAAAGCUUACGGCGAAUAUGUUUGGACCAGGGUUCGAUUCCUGCAGCUCCACCA